rnacentral:rRNA from 1 species
UACAUGGGGUGCAAACGUUGCUCGGAAUUAUUGGGCGUAAAGCGCACGUAGGCGGUUUGUUAAGUCGGAUGUGAAAUCCCUCGGCUCAACUCCAGAACUGCCUUUGAGACUGCAUCGCUUGAAUCCAGGAGAGGUGAGUGGAAUUCCGAGUGUAGAGGUGAAAUUCGUAGAUAUUCGGAAGAACACCAGUGGCGAAGGCGGCUCACUGGACUGGUAUUGACGCUGAGGUGCGAAAGCGUGGGGAGCAAACAGG